rnacentral:rRNA from 1 species
GACGAACGCUGGCGGCGUGCUUAACACAUGCAAGUCGAACGCUGAAGCUUGGUGCUUGCACUGGGUGGAUGAGUGGCGAACGGGUGAGUAAUACGUGAGUAACCUGCCCUUGGCUCUGGGAUAAGCCUGGGAAACUGGGUCUAAUACUGGAUACGACAUGCCACUGCAUGGUGGUGUGUGGAAAGGGUUUUACUGGUUUUGGAUGGGCUCACGGCCUAUCAGCUUGUUGGUGGGGUAAUGGCCUACCAAGGCGACGACGGGUAGCCGGCCUGAGAGGGUGACCGGCCACACUGGGACUGAGACACGGCCCAGACUCCUACGGGAGGCAGCAGUGGGGAAUAUUGCACAAUGGGCGGAAGCCUGAUGCAGCGACGCCGCGUGAGGGAUGACGGCCUUCGGGUUGUAAACCUCUUUCAGCACGGAAGAAGCGAGAGUGACGGUACGUGCAGAAGAAGCGCCGGCUAACUACGUG